rnacentral:rRNA from 1 species
AGUGAACGCUGGCGGUAGGCCUAACACAUGCAAGUCGAACGGCAGCACAGUAAGAGCUUGCUCUUACGGGUGGCGAGUGGCGGACGGGUGAGGAAUACAUCGGAAUCUACUUUUUCGUGGGGGAUAACGUAGGGAAACUUACGCUAAUACCGCAUACGACCUACGGGUGAAAGCAGGGGAUCUUCGGACCUUGCGCGAUUGAAUGAGCCGAUGUCGGAUUAGCUAGUUGGCGGGGUAAAGGCCCACCAAGGCGACGAUCCGUAGCUGGUCUGAGAGGAUGAUCAGCCACACUGGAACUGAGACACGGUCCAGACUCCUACGGGAGGCAGCAGUGGGGAAUAUUGGACAAUGGGCGGAAGCCUGAUCCAGCCAUACCGCGUGGGUGGAGAAGGCCUUCGGGUUGUAAAGCCCUUUUGUUGGGAAAGAAAAGCAGCAGGUUAAUACCCCGCUGUUCUGACGGUACCCAAAGAAUAAGCACCGGCUAACUUCGUG